ensembl:lncRNA
CUUUACCACUGAGCCACUGGUGAAGAUAUUGAGGAUCUUAAUUUCCCCACCAAGGAUUGAACCUGGGCUGUAGUGGUGAAAGCACUGAGUCCUAACCACUGGAUCACCAGGGGAUUCCCUAAAAUAUAACGUUUCAAAAAGAGCAAGGCUUUGGGUGCCACCUUCCCAGCCCAAAGAAGUUUAUCAAGAUAUUUUCCUAAACAAAGGUAGCAAUUAUUUUCAUUCUACCUCCCUAAGUUUUGUAUUCAGCUUUGCAGUUUAUAGCUUGUCUACUGUGGGCUUCUGGAAGUCUUGAGUAGCUAUGUAUUUUUUUAACCUCACACUUUUAAAGGUGAUAAACACAAGUUUCUCUGAGUAUCAAUCAUAUACUCUUCCUACUUGAGCAGCUAUGUACUUUUUUAACCUCA